GGAUCCAGACUUUGAUCCUGGCUCAGGAUGAACGCUAGCGGCAGGCUUAACACAUGCAAGUCGAGGGGCAGCGCGGGGCGGCAACGUCCUGGCGGCGACCGGCGGAAGGGUGCGUAACGCGUGAGCGACAUGCCCGUUGCCCGGGGACAACCGGUGGAAGCGCCGACUAAUCCCCGAUGGGACGGAGGCCCUCAUGGGUCUCUGUUGAAAGUUACGGCGGCGACGGAUUGGCUCGCGUCCGAUUAGCUUGUUGGCGGGGUAACGGCCCACCAAGGCUACGAUCGGUAGGGGUUCUGAGAGGAAGGUCCCCCACAAUGGAACUGAGACACGGUCCAUACUCCUACGGGAGGCAGCAGUGAGGAAUAUUGGUCAAUGGGCGGAAGCCUGAACCAGCCAUGCCGCGUGCGGGAAGGAGGCCCUAUGGGCUGUGAACCGCUUUUGCCUGGGGGCAAUAAGGGCGUCGCGCACGUCCGAUGAGAGUACCAGGGGAAUAAGCAUCGGCUAACUCCGUGCCAGCAGCCGCGGUAAUACGGGGGAUGCGAGCGUUAUCCGGAUUCAUUGGGUUUAAAGGGUGCGUAGGCUGUGCGUCAAGUCAGGGGUGAAAUUCCGGGGCUCAACUCCGGGGCUGCCCUUGAUACUGUCGCGCUGGAGUGCGGAUGCCGCCGGAGGAAUGAGUGGUGUAGCGGUGAAAUGCUUAGAUAUCACUCAGAACACCGAUUGCGAAGGCAUCUGGCGAAUCCGUAACUGACGCUGAGGCACGAAAGCGUGGGGAUAGAACAGGAUUAGAUACCCUGGUAUUCCACGCCGUAAACGAUGAUGGCUAACCGCCGGCGACAUACUGUCGGUGGCCAAGCGAAAGCGAUAAGCCAUCCACCUGGGGAGUACGUCGGCAACGAUGCAACUCAAAGGAAUUGACGG
rnacentral:rRNA from 1 species